rnacentral:rRNA from 1 species
AACGAACGCUGGCGGCAGGCUUAACACAUGCAAGUCGAACGCCCCGCAAGGGGAGUGGCGGACGGGUGAGUAACGCGUGGGAACGUGCCCUAAGGUAGGGAAUAACUGAGGGAAACUUCAGCUAAUACCCUAUGUGCCCCGUAAGGGGGAAAGAUUUAUCGCCUUAGGAGCGGCCCGCGUCGGAUUAGCUAGUUGGUGGG